rnacentral:rRNA from 1 species
AGAGUUUGAUCCUGGCUCAGGACGAACGCUGGCGGUGUGCUUCACACAUGCAAGUCGAACGGAGUAGCAAUACUCAGUGGCGGACGGGUGAGUAACACGUGGGAAUUUACCAUUAGGUGGGGAAUAACAGGCCGAAAGGACUGCUAAUGCCGCAUAUGUAGGCAUCUCGACAGAGAUGUUUAUGAAAGGAGUAAUCCGCCUUUUGAUGAGCCCGCGUCCGAUUAGCUAGUUGGUAGGGUAAAAGCCUACCAAGGCGACGAUCGGUAGGUGGUCUGAGAGGAUGAUCACCCACAAUGGGACUGAGACACGGCCCAUACUCCUACGGGAGGCAGCAGUGGGGAAUUUUACGCAAUGGGGGAAACCCUGACGUAGCGACACCGCGUGAGCGAAGAAGCCCUUUGGGGUGUAAAGCUCUGUCAACAGGAACGAAACAAAUGACGGUACCUGUGGAGGAAGCAUCGGCUAACUACGUGCCAGCAGCCGCGGUAAGACGUAGGAUGCAAGCGUUGUCCGGAUUUAUUGGGCGUAAAGAGUUCGUAGGCGGUUUGUUAAGUCUGAUGUUAAAGACCGGGGCUCAACCUCGGAAAUGCAUUGGAUACUGGCAGACUGGAGUGCAGUAGAGGCUAGUGGAAUUCCCAGUGUAGCGGUGAAAUGCGUAGA